rnacentral:rRNA from 1 species
AGAGUUUGAUCCUGGCUCAGAAUCAACGCUGGCGCGCGCCUAACACAUGCAAGUCGAACGAGAAAGGGGAGCAAUCCCUGAGUACAGUGGCGUACGGGUGAGUAACACGUGGAUGAUCUGCCCCUUAGUGGGGAAUAACCCUGGGAAACCGGGGCUAAUACCGCAUAAGCUCGAGAGAGGAAAGCAGCAAUGCGCUGAGG